ACUCCUACGGGAGGCAGCAGUGGGGAAUAUUGCACAAUGGGCGCAAGCCUGAUGCAGCCAUGCCGCGUGUGUGAAGAAGGCCUUGGGUUGUAAAGCACUUUCAGUCGUGAGGAAGGUGGUAGUGUUAAUAGCACUAUCAUUUGUACGUUAGCGACAGAAGAAGCACCGGCUAACUCCGUGCCAGCAGCCGCGGUAAUACGGAGGGUGCGAGCGUUAAUCGGAAUUACUGGGCGUAAAGCGCAUGCAGGUGGUUUGUUAAGUCAGAUGUGAAAGCCCGGGGCUCAACCUCGGAAUAGCAUUUGAAACUGGCAGACUAGAGUACUGUAGAGGGGGUAGAAUUUCAGGUGUAGCGGUGAAAUGCGUAGAGAUCUGAAGGAUACCGGUGGCGAAGGCGGCCCCUGGACAGAUACUGACACUCAGAUGCGAAAGCGUGGGAGCAAACAGGAUUAGAUACCCCGU
rnacentral:rRNA from 1 species